rnacentral:rRNA from 1 species
AUGGGAGAUUGGAUCAGAUCCUUCCAUAGAAAAAAUAGGGGAAUGGUGGUGAUUGGGGGGACAAUCAUUUGCUGGACUAUCUGGAAGACCAGAAAUGGGGCCUGUUUUGACAAAAAAUAUCCCGAUGAACCUGCUAAUGUUGUAUUUAAGCUCUGUUCGCUGCUUGAUGCUUGGAAAAUUCUACAGAGAUCCCAAGACAAAGGCGCAAGUGAAGAAGGUGUGAUAAAACUCAAGGAGGUGUUGAGAGAUAUCUUCAAUAGAUUGCAUGGCUGA